rnacentral:misc_RNA from 1 species
GGAAACCAUAGGACUACACACAGUGGCAGUGACCAAUGGAGUUACUAUUGACAAUAGCAGAGCAUCUGGCAGCUCAACUUCUGAUGAUAACAUUCUUUCCAGUCAUCUUUGAAUCCUACAAGCGAAGACACAGUUACGAGCAUGUUGAUGCUCCUGUUAUCUAUGAGGAUCUGAAUUCGUUAAAACAGGUAAUUUCAAAGAAUUUUUCUUUUUCGAAUAUGAUGUUAGUUUGUUUGAGAUACAAUAGUCUUCUUUUUCUUUUAGAAGACUAUUGUAGUGUAAACCUUUGAUUCAAAUAAUAGGUGCAUUGUCUAUCACUAAGAUGAUCUCUGUCACUUCUGUUCAGUGAUUCUUUGAAGUGAAAAAGUCAUAGGCUUGAUUCAUGAAUAUAUGAAAGGUGGUCUGGAAGGAAAAUAUGAUGCUAGAAUAAUCAAAUUUUGUGUUCUGUUCACUUAGCUUUGAUAGUUCUCACUAUCUCUUGGUGCAGUUGGAUCUUAAACGGUCUUCCCUUGUUUAGACAU